rnacentral:rRNA from 1 species
UACGAAGGGGGCUAGCGUUGCUCGGAAUCACUGGGCGUAAAGGGUGCGUAGGCGGGUUUUUAAGUCAGAGGUGAAAUCCUGGAGCUCAACUCCAAAACUGCCUUUAUACUGAAAGUCUUGAGUAUGGGAGAGGUGAGUGGAACUGCGAGUGUAGAGGUGAAAAUUCGUAGAUAUUCGCAAAGAACACCAGUGGCGAAGGCGGCUCACUG